rnacentral:rRNA from 1 species
AUACGUAGGGGGCGAGCGUUGUCCGGAAUGAUUGGGCGUAAAGGGCGCGUAGGCGGCGCGGUAAGUCUGGAGUGAAAGUCCUGCUUUCAAGGUGGGAAUUGCUUUGGAUACUGCCGCGCUUGAGUGCAGGAGAGGUUAUCGGAAUUCCCGGUGUAGCGGUGAAAUGCGUAGAGAUCGGGAGGAACACCAGUGGCGAAGGCGGGUAACUGGACUGCAACUGACGCUGAGGCGCGAAAGCGUGGGGAGCAAACAGGAUUAGAUACCCUGGUAGUCCACACUGUAAACGAUGAAUGCUAGGUGUAGGAGGUAUCGACCCCUUUUGUGCCGGAGUCAACACAAUAAGCAUUCCGCCUGGGGAGUACGGCCGCAAGGUUGAAACUCAAAUGAAUUGACGGGG